CUUGCUUUCGGGGCAGAUCUCCUGCACAGCCCUCCCCCUCCCUCCCGACGCACGGUCAGUCCCACCUUGACCUGUGCUUGGGGUCCGCCGCUGGUCUCAGAAGCUCUGGACAGCCCUCUCUCCUCCGGGUCCUGGGGAAGUAAUUACCCCGGUGUUGGUGACUUUAAUAUCAGAGAGAAGCCUCAGAGGAACGCGCUGUGCAGAAGAAAGAAGGAACCGGUAAUGGAGCCUCCAUAAAACCCCACAAGAGGCCCGCGUUUCGAGAGCUUCCAGAAGAGUGGCGGAGUGGGCGGUCCGUGCCUUUCCCCAGAGCUCGCUGGCUGCGUCUUCUCCACUUGGCUGUUCACAGGCGCAUGCGCUCUCCCAGCCAGCCCUGCGCAACCACGCCGCCCGCCGCCUGCCCCGGGGAAGGACUGCUGAGCGCACAGUCUCAUUUGAGGACUCUUCCAGAAGAACCCCUGACUAAGGAUUUGCUAAGGUGUGUGAGGUGCCAGAACCACGGGGGGCCUGAGAGCUGGACCGCUUGGGGAAGUGGCUGGCACAGGGCGGCUUAUCGAGCCAGCGACCACCGUGGGCACCCGGGAGCCUACUGAGGGCAGGCCAAGGUCAUGGACACCACGAACGGCCGUACACGGUGUGGCUUGGUGGGACUGGGGCCCGCGCUUCCCUCCCACGUGGUCUGGUCGGGGUCACCUCCACCUCCAAUUUGGGACACACGGUGGAUGGGUCCUUCCCACCUGCUCCACGCGGACUAGGCCACGUGACUUGCUUGGCCAAUGGGAAGGGACGAAGGUGGUGCGUGGAAACGUCUGAAACCGCUCUGCUGCUUCUGCGCAAGAGGAACACGGGGCAGGCUGCUUGCGUCCCCUCCCCGGGAGCCUCGGAACCGAGCUGCUGGCCCGUGCCGUGGAUGCUGCAGGCAGAAGGCGUCCGCGGUCCAGGGCACAGGGCAUACAAACCUGUCAGAACAUGGAAGCCUAUUGGAGACCUGGAAGAAAAUGGUAUUGACCCCAAAAUACAGAAGGGAAAUUACAAAGACCAGCCUGUGUUUAUAUAAAUAUCUACAAAA